GCGCAGGUGAUGGAAUCGGUAGACGUGCCGCACUCAAAAUGCGGUGGCCUAGGCCGUGUGGGUUCGAGUCCCACGCUGCGCACCA
rnacentral:tRNA from 1 species